UUGAUUAUUAGACGGAUCUAACUCAUUAAUAAUUGUGGUGGGUCAUGACUUUUAAUAGGGCUCCAAGGCGUCCAACCCAUUGAAUUGCUCUCUGUCAGAUCUUGCGCACUCAACGUUCUCCAUUGAAGCGCAGUUGACAUUCUCCAUUGAAUCUAGUUCUUGUAUCCCCCAUUGAAGCAGCUUCUGAGAUCGAAUGGCAAAAGGUCUGAUAUGGGCAACAACGGAGGAUUUAAUGAGGAAUAAGGGUCGAGUUCUAUCUUUGUACAGACAAAUAUUGCGGAGUCUUAAUUCUCCAGACUUACCGCUGCCCUUUGCAGCAAGAAUGGCCAAGAAAGCUGAGGUUCGUGCUAUCUUCAUGCUGGGAUCUGAAGAGAGGUCUCUACACAAUGUUGCUGACCUCAUUGAUGCUGCAGAGUACUCGUUAUCUCUCUUGAACAAAGGCGAAAUCCCUAAACACAUCCAAUGAAUACUUGAGAAAAUUUGCUGAUAAGGCCAUAGAGGAUUAGUGGUGGGAUGCUUGGAAUCUGGAAACCUUCACUGUUUGAUGGUGUGGGAGAAACUAUUUGUCUGCAAAUUGAACUUCGAGAUGAUCGUCAUUGAAAUCUGUAAACACUGCCAUGUUGUACAGAAUUUUGUAAUAUCUUUUAGACGGCCACAUGAUAAUGAUCCUUUGGAUACAUACAUACUCUAAUAAAAUGGCCUUCAUGUUGCUGGUCUGCUUACCCAAAAGUCAAACUUCAAUUAUAGAGGCUUUGUGCUCCUUUGCUGCAUUGAGCUUAUUCAGUUUGAACCUUCUAGCUCCAUUUUCUGCCUUCUACCAUCUCUCUUAUAUGACAGAAUAUGAGUGUGAAAUUUAAUUGCGUUUCUGGCAGAUUCAUCUAGUUUAUUCUGAGUUGCCUGCUGCAUGAGAGAGAAGUUUGUAAGUGCAGUGUGUAAAAUCUGACGAUUUGUAACUAGAUAUGCAAUGUGGUGUACUGGUUGGUUGAGGGAUCACAUGAUGUUUAAGCUUUCCGUAUCUGCAUCGGCCCUGUCUGUGUUUUAGUUCUCGUAACUAGCCAUGUAGGUGUCGUGCUAGAUUGUUUGCUUCGACCUUAUACACCUGAACAAAUUAGUCUUUGUAAGGAUCAUAUCUUAGCCUGUAAUUCUGAUGUUAUUUGAACUGUAACUAUCUUCUGCUCUGGUCGAGGUGUUCCAUAUUUGCUAGAUCAUGUUUUAAACCAUUGAAAAGCCAUUAAAGUACAAGAUUCUAUUUGCAUUACAAUCUUUCAAGUACAGUCUAGAGCUGAACUCGUCCAACACAUAAACUAGUAGACUCCAUUAUUACUCGUAAUAUAUUACUCGUAUCAUACAACUUCGUAUUAAUUAUU